rnacentral:rRNA from 1 species
GACGAACGCUGGCGGCGUGCUUAACACAUGCAAGUCGAACGGAAAGGCCCUGCUUUUGUGUGGUGCUCGAGUGGCGAACGGGUGAGUAACACGUGAGUAACCUGCCCUUGACUUUGGGAUAACUUCAGGAAACUGGGGCUAAUACCGGAUAGGAGCUCCUGCUGCAUGGUGGGGGUUGGAAAGUUUCGGCGGUUGGGGAUGGACUCGCGGCUUAUCAGCUUGUUGGUGGGGUAGUGGCUUACCAAGGCUUUGACGGGUAGCCGGCCUGAGAGGGUGACCGGCCACAAUGGGACUGAGGUACGGCCCAGACUGCUACGGGAGGCAGUAGUGGGGAGUAUUGCACAAUGGGCGGAAGCCUGAUGCAGCAACGCCGCGUGCGGGAUGACGGCCUUCGGGUGGUAAACCGCUUUCGCCUGUGACGAAGCGUGAGUGACGGUAAUGGGUAAAGAAGCACCGGCUAACUACGUG